rnacentral:lncRNA from 1 species
AUGGGAAGCUCAGUGAAGGCAGAGAUGGCACAUAAUAGCAUUCAGCUGGUGUUCUGGAUGGAUAGAUGCGUGGGUCUGCAGAUGGAUGGAAAGAGUAAAACAGGCAUGAAUGUCACUGAGGGAUUGUCGCUGAUGUCACCUCAAGCUUCAGCCUCACUGCUGUGUUGUGAUCAUAAUAGUCUAACAGAGCCGCCAGCCCAGUGGAAAUCCAUGUGCUGCUUGUUUCUUCAAUUUCUUGUGGCUAAACCAAUGACGAUGACGGUUUCAGGAAAAGAAGAAGAUAGAAAGUCCUUCCAAGCCAUGACUGAGGGAGUCGGAAAAGUUUGGUGCUUGAAAUAGAAGGACAACAUUGUAGAGUCAGGGACAAGAGCACAGGAUUUGGAGCUUGAUGACCCAGCUCUGCUACUAAGUACGAACAACCUUGAGGAGGUACGUCACUUAACCUUUCUAGACCUGUUUCCUCAUCUGUAAAAUGAGGAUAAUGAUAUUCUUCCCUAUCUACCUUGCAUCAUUGCUCUGACUAGCAAAUGAUAGAAUGUGAAACCUUUCACAUCAUCUAUGAAUAUGACUUGCCCCUGCUGCUGCUGUUUCUACCUCCAUCAGCACCGCGAUGGCUACCACUCACACUGUGCUUCCAGCUACUACUACUUGGGCACUGAUGUGACUAGGGAGAGUAGGCACUGGUUUCCCUCAAUUCCAUGGGGCCUCUUUUGGAAGGACAGCUUUGCUUCAAAAGGGCAAGUGCUAGACUAGGGGUUAGAAGACCAGUUUCUUGCCACUCAAGAAAUGUGUGACUCCGGAGAAGGCAUCUCAGUCCCUCCAUGUGUGAAAUGAGGGGAUGUCACUCACCAGUGGUUUUCAAGCUGCUUUUCUUCAGAGCCCUAGGUAUCUGCUUCCAUCUGAUCUGUUUCAUUAUUAUAUGAUUUUAUGUGUAGCGUUUCUGUGUAAAAUUUUGUUUAGAAAAUGAAAAUAAAGUUCCAGUUUUAAAAAGGGCUUACA